UACAGAGGGGGCAAGCGUUGUUCGGAAUUACUGGGCGUAAAGGGCGCGUAGGCGGCCUUCUAAGUCGAACGUGAAAUCCCCGGGCUCAACCCGGGAACUGCGUCCGAUACUGGAAGGCUUGAAUCCGGGAGAGGGAUGCGGAAUUCCAGGUGUAGCGGUGAAAUGCGUAGAUAUCGGAAGGAACAUCAGUGGCGAAGGCGACUUCCUGGACCAAUACUGACGCUCAGGUGCGAAAGCGUGGGGAGCAAACAGG
rnacentral:rRNA from 1 species